CUUGAGUUUGAAAAUGGAAACAAAGCUGUGGGCUACGCAUCGUUGCACGGCCAUGCCAUGUAUUCCAAACCAGGUCUGGUNNNNNCUUACAAGGGAGUAGUAGGAUAGGAAUCAGGAACGAUACUUCCAAAAGUAAGAUAGUCUUGGACACUGGAGCAAGAUUCUCUGUGGUUGCAGCCGAGUAUUUGGGCACGGCUAUUAUCGAACCGCCAUGGCUUAAUUACUUGAGAAAAUGGGGUCCAACAGUUAGUUACGACGUGUCUGUUUUUCAAAAGUUUGUCAAGAGCCUACCAAAUGAAGUUUUCGGAGAAGAAGGACCCACAGGCCCCAAACUAAAAAGGAACUGGAUUGGAGAUGAAGUUUAAAAUAUUGUGGAUUCUAAGGUAGAUAUAUCCAUCCUUGGAAAAUUUUUAUCUAGCAAAAUAUAAUGUGUAUAAUGGGUUUAGAUGGAUGUUUCAUAUUAAAUUU
rnacentral:misc_RNA from 1 species